rnacentral:rRNA from 1 species
AGCGAACGCUGGCGGCAGGCCUAACACAUGCAAGUCGAACGAAGUCUUCGGACUUAGUGGCGGACGGGUGAGUAACACGUGGGAACGUGCCUUUAGGUUCGGAAUAACUCAGGGAAACUUGUGCUAAUACCGAAUGUGCCCUUCGGGGGAAAGAUUUAUCGCCUUUAGAGCGGCCCGCGUCUGAUUAGCUAGUUGGUGAGGUAAAGGCUCACCAAGGCGACGAUCAGUAGCUGGUCUGAGAGGAUGAUCAGCCACAUUGGGACUGAGACACGGCCCAAACUCCUACGGGAGGCAGCAGUGGGGAAUUUUGCGCAAUGGGCGAAAGCCUGACGCAGUCAUGCCGCGUGAAUGAUGAAGGUCUUAGGAUUGUAAAAUUCUUUCACCGGGGACGAUAAUGACGGUACCUGGAGAAGAAGCCCCGGCUAACUUCGUGCCAGCCGCCGCGGUAA